UGAAAACAUGGACCUCAGAAGCACAAGAUGGCAGGAGGAAGCCAUGGCUGCUGGCUGGUGCUGUUAUGAGCACCAGCAUUUUGUCAGUUUGGGGACUAGGAGGGUAGUCCCUGCCAUGUCCAACACCUGGUGAGUCUGGCUCCAUAUUAUACACAGAAACUCUGGGCAUUGUCUACGUAUAGCCACAGAGAAACAAGUUGCUUUCUGCAGCACAGCAAGUAAGAUAAGAGGAGGUCGUGGACUGCCUUGGUGUUAUGACAUUCACCCUUUGUUCUACCAGCUAGAUUCCCAGCAUAGGGAUAUUUGCUUUUAAACACUUGCUUGGGUCAGAGUAGCUAAACUCUGCUACAGAGUGAAUGGAGGACUGUGAACUAUUUCUUCUCAGAGCCAGGAGAGGUUGGAUAUGGUGAAAAGGCUUUUGAUCUUUGCAAAGAAAGGAUCCCUUGAGGCUGGAGGCGGGCAGCCUUUAGGUGUCACUCACACUGGAGAAACUUUGAUGGAGCACUGACUGAGUCCCGGGAGAGGCCAUGUGAAUGGAGGCAAGAUGCUCCUGACUCUGGCCAGCUCAGGGAAAAGUCUAUCUGGGGUUUCCAGGAUCAACUGCCACGUGAGUAGUUUACUCAAUGUUCCAGAAGUAAUGAGGACAUGGCGUUAAAGAAGGACAUGAAGUAACUUGUAGGAAUUGAUUCUUCCCUUCCAUUAUGUGGCUCCUGGAACUCACGUUGUCACAGCAGCAAUUAGCCUUUACCUGCUGAGGAAUUUUGCUGACACUUUGAGAUAUAAUUAUAUUCAUGAG
rnacentral:lncRNA from 1 species